rnacentral:rRNA from 1 species
UACUCUUCGGGGUUGUAGGACUGCAAUGUGGACUCAAAGAUUAUAGAAGAAUGAUUUGGGAAGAUCAGCCAAAGAGAGUAAUAGCCUCGUAUUUAAAAUAGUCUUUGUACUUAGCAGUAUCCUGAGUACGGCGGGACACGUGAAAUCCCCUCGGAAUCUGGGAGGACCAUCUCCCAACCCUAAAUACUCCCUAGUGACCGAUAGUGAACCAGUACCGUGAGGGAAAGGUGAAAAGCACCCCGGGAGGGGAGUGAAAUAGAACCUGAAACCGUGUGCCUACAACAAGUUCGAGCCCGUUAAUGGGUGAGAGCGUGCCUUUUGUAGAAUGAACCGGCGAGUUACGUUAUGAUGCGAGGUUAAGUUGAAGAGACGGAGCCGUAGGGAAACCGAGUCUGAAUAGGGCGCCUUAGUAUCAUGACGUAGACCCGAAACCAUGUGACCUACCCAUGAGCAGGUUGAAGGUGCGGUAAGACGCACUGGAGGACCGAACCAGGGCACGUUGAAAAGUGCUUGGAUGACUUGUGGGUAGCGGAGAAAUUCCAAACGAACUUGGAGAUAGCUGGUUCUCUCCGAAAUAGCUUUAGGGCUAGCGUCGACAUUAGAGAUUCUUGGAGGUAGAGCACUGUUUGGGUGAGGGGUCCAUCCCGGAUUACCAAUCUCAGAUAAACUCCGAAUGCCAAUGAAUUAUGGUCGGCAGUCAGACUGCGAGUGCUAAGAUCCGUAGUCGAAAGGGAAACAGCCCAGACCACCAGCUAAGGUCCCAAAAUAAUUGUUAAGUGGAAAAGGAUGUGGGGUUGCACAGACAACUAGGAUGUUAGCUUAGAAGCAGCUAUUCAUUCAAAGAGUGCGUAAUAGCUCACUAGUCGAGUGACCCUGCGCCGAAAAUGUACCGGGGCUAAAACAAUUUACCGAAGCUGUGGAUACCUUUAUAGGUAUGGUAGGAGAGCGUUCUAUGUGUGAUGAAGGUAUACCGUGAGGAGUGCUGGAACGCAUAGAAGUGAGAAUGCCGGUAUGAGUAGCGAAAGACAGGUGAGAAUCCUGUCCACCGUAAGACUAAGGUUUCCAGGGGAAGGCUCGUCCGCCCUGGGUUAGUCGGGACCUAAGGAGAGACCGAAAGGUGUAUCCGAUGGACAACAGGUUGAUAUUCCUGUACUAGAGUAUGUAGUGAUGGAGGGACGCAGUAGGCUAACUAAAGCAGACGAUUGGAAGAGUCUGUCUAAGCAGUGAGGUGUGAAUUGAGUCAAAUGCUUAAUUCUAUAACAUUGAGCUGUGAUGGGGAGCGAAGUUUAGUAGCGAAGUUAGUAACGUCACACUGCCAAGAAAAGCUUCUAGCGUUUAACCAUACUCUACCCGUACCGCAAACCGACACAGGUAGUCGAGGCGAGUAGCCUCAGGUGAGCGAGAGAACUCUCGUUAAGGAACUCGGCAAAAUGACCCCGUAACUUCGGGAGAAGGGGUGCUGACUUUAAGUCAGCCGCAGUGAAUAGGCCCAAGCAACUGUUUAUCAAAAACACAGCUCUCUGCUAAAUCGUAAGAUGAUGUAUAGGGGGUGACGCCUGCCCGGUGCUGGAAGGUUAAGAGGAGUGCUUAGCGUAAGCGAAGGUAUGAAUUGAAGCCCCAGUAAACGGCGGCCGUAACUAUAACGGUCCUAAGGUAGCGAAAUUCCUUGUCGGGUAAGUUCCGACCCGCACGAAAGGCGUAAUGAUUUGGGCACUGUCUCAACGAGAGACUCGGUGAAAUUUUAGUACCUGUGAAGAUGCAGGUUACCCGCGACAGGACGGAAAGACCCCAUGGAGCUUUACUGCAGUUUGAUAUUGAGUGUCUGUACCACAUGUACAGGAUAGGUAGGAGUCUAAGAGAUCGGGACGCCAGUUUCGAAGGAGACGCUGUUGGGAUACUACCCUUGUGUUAUGGCCACUCUAACCCAGAUAGGUGAUCCCUAUCGGAGACAGUGUCUGACGGGCAGUUUGACUGGGGCGGUCGCCUCCUAAAAGGUAACGGAGGCGCCCAAAGGUUCCCUCAGAAUGGUUGGAAAUCAUUCGCAGAGUGUAAAGGUAUAAGGGAGCUUGACUGCGAGAGCUACAACUCGAGCAGGGACGAAAGUCGGGCUUAGUGAUCCGGUGGUUCCGUAUGGAAGGGCCAUCGCUCAACGGAUAAAAGCUACCCUGGGGAUAACAGGCUUAUCUCCCCCAAGAGUUCACAUCGACGGGGAGGUUUGGCACCUCGAUGUCGGCUCGUCGCAUCCUGGGGCUGUAGUCGGUCCCAAGGGUUGGGCUGUUCGCCCAUUAAAGCGGCACGCGAGCUGGGUUCAGAACGUCGUGAGACAGUUCGGUCCCUAUCCGUCGCGGGCGUAGGAAAUUUGAGAGGAUCUGCUCCUAGUACGAGAGGACCAGAGUGGACUUACCGCUGGUGUACCAGUUGUCUUGCCAAAGGCAUCGCUGGGUAGCUAUGUAGGGAAGGGAUAAACGCUGAAAGCAUCUAAGUGUGAAACCCACCUCAAGAUGAGAUUUCCCAUGAUUAUAUAUCAGUAAGAGCCCUGAGAGAUGAUCAGGUAGAUAGGUUAGAAGUGGAAGUGUGGCGACACAUGUAGCGGACUAAUACUAAUAGCUCGAGGACUUAUCCAA